rnacentral:sRNA from 1 species
AGAUAGGAUCUCGUGGUGUUGCUUUGACUGGCACGGAGCUUGUUAGAUCAGUGUGGUCUCGAGGUCACAAAGAUCUGCCUACUGCUGGGAUUAAAAACAGAACCACCGCACGCUGCCCAAGAUUGCCUUCCGAAGCCAGUUGGCAAUCCUUCCGAUUCAGCCUCCCAAAUGCUUCGGGAUCCCGGUGCUCUGCAAACGCUCCGAGUUGGUUGUUAAACCUGCUUGGCAGUGCCACACUUAAUGAGUUUGGAGAUAGUGAAGAGGCGUAAGGAGACGUGGGAUGGCCAAAGCGUUCUUUAUCUGUCCCCAACAAUGUGUCAAAUGUUUCCAGACUGUGAAUCCAAAGAUCUGGGAUCCCAAACCGCCCACCUCCCUCGGGAAGUCAUACCCCACCAAAGCCGGGCACAUCAGGGUUUCCAAGCUGGAGGCCCGUGUGUGCUCACAGAUCCGCAAACCAGGAGGCAACACAGCUCCCCACAGAUCACGCACCAAUUGGGGCGCCUAUUCGGCACUUCCGGGACCACUCUAGGCCUCACGGAGGUCUCAUCGUCUCUGUGCUCCUGCUGCUGAGCCAGGCCCUGGUGGCCUGGUGGCCCCAAAGCCCGCGCUGGACAGAGAGCACAGGAAGAUAUUGAGCCUCAAAUUACUGCUGAACCUUCCUUGAGGCUAGGUUCAGGAUCUCUUUGACAAAGGGCCCUUCCUGAGAACACCCACCUCUAACCAUGAAGGAUCAGUGGGAAUCUGCCCAGAGACUCCCUAAGAGAAGCAGGGGCUGCCCUUCCCCCUCAGCCAUCGUGAACUCUAUGGGAACCAGUCACCCAAGAACCAUGAGCAUUGGACCACAGUCAGCCAUGCGGAACUGGAGGGGGGUGGCAAGUGUUGGUUCCUGUUUCUCUACCUUCAGGUCACUGGAAGGGCAGGUGGGAAGCUAAACCCCUUAG